rnacentral:lncRNA from 1 species
GUAGUAAUAUAUUAGCCUUGUCAUGCUGUCAAAAUUUUAUUGUAUGGUGGGUUUGACCUACUGCAGUGGGCUGGGUUUUGUGGACUAGCCUAUUAGAGGGGCACGGAAUCUUGUCAUAUUUUUACCUCGAUUGGAGAGGCGAGUAGAGUAACUCCCGAGGUAUAACUUUUAGAGUUCACUUCACACCAAACCACCACGUGAAGGGGAACUCGGCCAACGCCAAGGAACGGCUAUGUUUUCAAAAUAAAA